rnacentral:rRNA from 1 species
CAUAGCGACUAUCGUGGCAUAUCAAUAAGCGGAGGAAAAGAAACUAACAAGGAUUCCCCUAGUAACGGCGAGUGAAGCGGGAAGAGCUCAAAUUUGAAAUCUUAAAGGGUUUCCCUUUACGAAUUGUAGUUUAAAGAAGUGUUUUCUGUUGGAGUUUCGGUAAAAGUUCUUUGGAAUAGGACAUCAUAGAGGGUGAGAAUCCCGUAUUUGACCGUUACUUUCCAGCUGUGUGAUACACUUUCAAAGAGUCGGAUUGUUUGGGAAUGCAGUCCAAAAUGGGUGGUAAAUUUCGUCUAAAGCUAAAUAUUGGCGAGAGACCGAUAGCGAACAAGUACCGUGAGGGAAAGAUGAAAAGAACUUUGAAAAGAGAGUUAAACAGUACGUGAAAUUGUCAAAAGGGAAGCGUUUGACACCAGUGUUGUUUAGUUGAAAAUCAAUUCAAUAAUUUUUGAUUUUAGAGUAGUAUUGACUUCAUCAGCUUGCUGCUUUCUUUUCAGGAAUUAUUGAAUGCACUUUUCAGUUAACAAGUCAACAUCAAUUUCUUUUGUUGUAAAAGGGUAAGAGGAAGGUGGCUUACGUUUCGGCGUAAGUGUUUAUAGCCUUUUACCUCUGCAAUCGGAGAGAUUGAGGACAGCAGCGUAGACUCCUUCUGGGGUUAGAUACACUUGUGCUAAGCUAUAGCCUUGUAUAGACAACUUGUUGACUAUGCUCAGUCAUGUAGCUUACUCGCUUGUGCUAUUUUACCUACGCUUAGGAUGUUGAUAUGCAUGACUGAUAUU